GACGAACGCUGGCGGCGUGCUUAACACAUGCAAGUCGAACGGAAAGGCCCUGCUUUUGUGGGGUGCUCGAGUGGCGAACGGGUGAGUAACACGUGAGUAACCUGCCCUUGUCUUUGGGAUAACUUCAGGAAACUGGGGCUAAUACCGGAUAGGAGCUCCUGCUGCAUGGUGGUGGUUGGAAAGUGUCGGCGGUCUGGGAUGGACUGGCGGCUUAUCAGCUUGUUGGUGGGGUAGGUGCUUACCAAGGCUUUGACGGGUAGCCGGCCUGAGCGGGUGAACGGCCACAUUGGGACUGAGGGACGGACCAGACUCCAACGGGAGGCAGCAGUGGGGAAUAUUGCACAAUGGGCGGAAGCCUGAGGCAGCAACGCCGCGUGCGGGAUGACGGCCUUCGGGUUAUAAACCGCUGUCGCCUGAGACGAAGCGUGAGUGACGGUAAUGGGUAAAGAAGCACCGGCUAACUACGUG
rnacentral:rRNA from 1 species